rnacentral:tRNA from 1 species
ACUUAAAUAAUUUAAAUAAAAUAUUGAUUUGUGGAGUCAAAUAUAUGGAUUUCCAUUUUAGGUU